UGGGGAAUUUUGGACAAUGGGCGCAAGCCUGAUCCAGCAAUGCCGCGUGCAGGAUGAAGGCCUUCGGGUUGUAAACUGCUUUUGUACGGAACGAAAAGGCUUGGGUUAAUACCGGGGGGUCAUGACGGUACCGUAAGAAUAAGCACCGGCUAACUACGUGCCAGCAGCCGCGGUAAUACGUAGGGUGCGAGCGUUAAUCGGAAUUACUGGGCGUAAAGCGUGCGCAGGCGGUUUUGUAAGACAGAUGUGAAAUCCCCGGGCUCAACCUGGGAACUGCCUUUGUGACUGCAAGGCUAGAGUACGGCAGAGGGGGAUGGAAUUCCGCGUGUAGCAGUGAAAUGCGUAGAUAUGCGGAGGAACACCGAUGGCGAAGGCAAUCCCCUGGGCCUGUACUGACGCUCAUGCACGAAAGCGUGGGGAGCAAACAGGAUUAGAUACCCUGGUAGUCCACGCCCUAAACGAUGUCAACUGGUUGUUGGGUCUUCACUGACUCAGUAACGAAGCUAACGCGUGAAGUUGACCGCCUGGGGAGUACGGCCGCAAGGUUG
rnacentral:rRNA from 1 species